UGCCAGCCGCCGCGGUAAUACGAAGGGACCUAGCGUAGUUCGGAAUUACUGGGCUUAAAGAGUUCGUAGGUGGUUGAAAAAGUUAGUGGUGAAAUCCCAGAGCUUAACUCUGGAACUGCCAUUAAAACUUUUCAGCUAGAGUAUGAUAGAGGAAAGCAGAAUUUCUAGUGUAGAGGUGAAAUUCGUAGAUAUUAGAAAGAAUACCAAUUGCGAAGGCAGCUUUCUGGAUCAUUACUGACACUCAGAGACGAAGGCUAGGGGAGCAAAAGGGAUUAGAUA
rnacentral:rRNA from 1 species